CGAGAAAAGAAACUAACAAGGAUUCCCCUAGUAACUGCGAGUGAAGCGGGAAAAGCUCAAAUUUUGAAUCUGGCGGUCUUUCAGCCGUCCGAGUUGUAAUCUAGAGAAGUGUCUUCCGCGCUGGACCGUGUACAAGUCUCCUGGAAGGGAGCGUCAUAGAGGGUGAGAAUCCCGUCUUUGACACGGACCGCCAGGGCUUUGUGAUGCACUCUCAACGAGUCGAGUUGUUUGGGAAUGCAGCUCAAAAUGGGUGGUAAACUCCAUCUAAAGCUAAAUAUAGGCGAGAGACCGAUAGCGAACAAGUACCGUGAGGGAAAGAUGAAAAGAACUUUGGAAAGAGAGUUAAACAGUACGUGAAAUUGCUGAAAGGGAAACGCUUGAUGUCAGUCGCGUUCGUCAAGGAUCAACCUUGCUCUUUUGCUGGGUGGACUUCUUGGCGGACGGGUCAGCAUCAGUUUCAGUCGCUGUACAAUGGUGGAGGGAAUGUGGCACUUUUUGGAGUGUGUUUAUAGCCUUUCAUCGUAUGCAGCGGUCGGGACUGAGGAACUCGGCACGAAUGGCUUGUUCAUUUUGUGUCUAGGAUGCUGGCAUAAUGGCCUUAAGCGACCCGUCUUGAAACACGGACCAAGGAGUCUAACAUGCCUGCAAGUGUUUGGGUGGAAAACCCCGAGCGCGUAAUGAAAGUGAAAGUUGAGACCUCUGUCAUGGAGGGCAUCGACGCCCGGUCCA
rnacentral:rRNA from 1 species